ACAAUGCGGAACAAUGUUUUGCAAUUGGAUUGAGAACAACGUACAAACCUUAUCGAUAAACAAUUGGAGGGCAAGUCUGGUGCCAGCAGCCGCGGUAAUUCCAGCUCCAAUAGCGUAUAUUAACGUUGUUGCAGUUAAAAAGCUCGUAGUUGAAAUGAAGGGUAGUUGUGUAAUGAAUACAUUCGUGUAUUUUGUUAUUCAAGUAUCCUCCUUCUAAAUUCGAUAUAUGAGUAUUAAUUUACUUGUAUAUGGUUUUAGACAUUUACUGUGAGAAAAUUAGAGUGUUCAAAGCAGGCAUUUGCUUGAAUAUAUUAGCAUGGAAUAAUCAUGUAUGAUUUUCAUGAUGUAUUUGAUUGGUUUGGUUCAUGAGAAUAAGAUUAAAAGGGACAGUUGGGGGUAUUCAUAUUCAAUAGUCAGAGGUGAAAUUCUCGGAUUUAUGGAAGAUGAAC
rnacentral:rRNA from 1 species